rnacentral:snoRNA from 1 species
AUCCUCCUAAUGCUUACCACGGACAGCGCACCUCAGAGUGCUGGCCGUAUAGAAACAGGAGGGACAUUAAGCUCUUCCAGCACAUUGGCUCUGCCAGCUGUCUGGUGGGGCGCUACUGUUGGCUGAUACAUCC